rnacentral:lncRNA from 1 species
AUGAUGACCUUACUGGAUAGAGUAUUCUUUUGCCAAGCAGUGCCAUGUCUGUGCCCAGGAUCCGAACUGGCGAAUCCAGGGCUGCUGAGAAGUGGAACAUGUAAACUUAACCACUGCGCCACUGAGCCGGCCCACAGAGAAUUCUUGGCUGUAGGUUUUUUUCCUUUCAGCACUUUAAGUAUAUCAUGCCUCUUCCUUCUAUCCUGUAAGGUUUCUGCUGAGAAGUCAGCUGAUAGCCUUAUGGGGUUUUCUUUAUUUGUAACUUGUUGCCUUCUUCUUGCAGCUUUUAGGAUUCUUUCUUUAUCUUUAAUUCUUGACAUUUUAAUUAUAAUAUGUCUUGGUGUGGACCUUUUUGGUGUUCUCUGUACUUCCUGUACCUGGACAUCUGUUUCCUUCCUAAGGUUAGGAAAGUUUUCAGCUAUUAUUUCUUCAAGUAGAUUCUCUGCCCCUUUGUCUCUCUCUUCUCCUUCUGGGACACCUAUAAUAUGGAUGUUAGUGCACUUGUUGUUGUCCCAGAGGUCCCUUAGGCAGUCCUUGUUCUUUUUAAUUCUUUUUUCUUUUAUCUUUUCAGCUUGGAUGAUUUCCUCUAGUCUUUUGUCCAGCUCACUGAUCUGUUCUUCUGUAUCAUCUACUCUGCUUUUGAGUCCCCCCUCUAGUGAAUUUUUCAUUUCCUGUAUCAUAUUCUUCAUUUUUGAUUGGUUCUUUUUUGUAUGUUCCAGUUCUUUGUUAAAGUUCUCACUGAGUUCACCCAUUCUUCUCCCAAGAUCAGUGAGCAUUCUUAUGACUCUUAGUUUCUUCUCUUUGUCAGGUAGAUUGUCUAUCUCUGUUUCGCUUAGUUCUUUUUCUGGGUUUUGUCCUGUUCCUUUACUUGGAAUGUAUUCCUUUGUCUCCUCAUUUUGCCUCUAUCUCUGUGCUUAUAUCUAUGUAUUAGGUAGAUCAGCUACAUCUCCUGAUUUUGGAGAGGUGGCCUUAUGUAUGAGAUGCCUUAUGAGGCCCGGCAGUGUGCUUCCCUCUCAUCACCAGUUCCAAAUGUUCCAGGAGCGACCACUGUGUGGGCUACAUGUUUACUUCUGUUGUGGCAGGCUUGCUCUUGCUACAGGUCCUGGGGAGUCUAGGCUAGUCCCCCUGGCUCGCUGGUUGUAA